rnacentral:misc_RNA from 1 species
AAAAAAUGAUCUACUGAUACAGAUCACACACACAACAACAAAGAGUUUGCCCUAUAAUUGUGGGCAUCACCAGUAGGCAUAUUGGCAUGUUCAAGAAAUACCGCCAAUGCUUCUGAUGCGACUCAUUCUAAUUCUAGCUAAAUUGGUAGACUGCUCAGCUUUCUUUAUCCUUGCCAUUUCCUUCAGAGGCUUUAGGACCAUCAUAAGCAGAUAGGAAGAAAGUACCCUGGUUUUUCUGCAAAAACUUGAGAAAGUCUAGAAAUUUCUGUUGCAACUUCGUUAACGACUCCUCGUCAAUUUUUGCAUAUGCAAUCAACUCGGGCAAUUUUACAAAAAGG